CAAUAGCGUAUAUUAAAGUUGUUGCAGUUAAAAAGCUCGUAGUUGGAUUUGUGGCGUACGGUGUGUUCCGGGCACUUGUUGUCUGAGUAACCUGCUGUUGCCAUCCUUGGGUGGAACCUGUGUGGCAUUAGGUUGUCGUGCAGGGGAUGCCCAUCAUUUACUGUGAAAAAAUUAGAGUGUUCAAAGCAGGCUUAUGCCGUUGAAUAUAUUAGCAUGGAAUAAUGAGAUAGGACUUUUUUGCUAUUUUGUUGGUUUGCGCAAAGAGGCAAUGAUUAAUAGGGACAGUUGGGGGUAUUCGUAUUCCAUAGUCAGAGGUGAAAUUCUUGGAUUUUUGGAAGACGAACUACUGCGAAAGCAUUUACCAAGGAUGUUUUCAUUAA
rnacentral:rRNA from 1 species